rnacentral:lncRNA from 1 species
ACUCAAACCAGCUGUAUUAAGGAAGGUGCAAGCUUUUGGGAUUUCUGUUUGGAUUUAGUUUAGGUUCAAAAGAGCACGCACAGAUCCUGAGUGUUGUCAAGCACCCGUGACUGGGAAACGGAGGCGUCCGAUCCGUAUUGGAGUCAAUUCGCCACUUAAUUGAAAAACCCUUUGAAAAGAUUCAGCACGUUGCCAUGGAGAACAUCCCACUGAAGGAAUGUAUAGAAGUAGCAGGUGUCAGCUGCCUACCAGUUGCUUUCAUCUCUAGAAAUCUGUGACUUGCAGUAUGACAAGAACAAAAGGUGACAAUACAAAGGACAAAGGGCAAGGAAUACAGACGGAGAAGCCGCUUAGAGUCUAGGAUGGCAGAGGUUCUCUUGAUCAUUUCAUUUUUGAGCGCUUGUAGAGCUUUGGUGUACCAGAGGUGCUUGAACAGCUUACCACACCACAGAUGAAUGGCCUUUGGAUUUCUCCUAAGAAAAUGUGGCUACCUGAAAUUCAACUCCAUUUUCUGGUCUUCAAUAUUUCUUUUGUGUUCAGUUUGCCAGCUGAGGAGAAGUGGCUAAGCAUAGCCUGUUACUGAUGCUAAAGCCCAAGUUCUGAACCUAACAACUCCAGCAACAUGAUCCUGUUUCAAGAGACAAAAAAGUGACUAAUGAAAGAAAACAAUUGAUGUGCUAUGUAGAGUUUAAAAGAAGGGUUGAACCGAACUGGCGAUGCACUGUCUGGAUUGGAUGCAUGUCUUCGUCAUUCUGGAUCCACAUCCUUCAAAUGUUGCCCACCGUGUGAUAGUUGACAUAACACCUUCUAGUACGAUGAGAGCUAGUCAGGAUGGAUAAAACUUAGUUGGAAUCUCAUCAAACUGCCAACAACAACUAUUUUAUAUCUUGAGGCACUUUGGAUAUCUGUUACAUCUUUAUAUAAAUUGAAUAAUAUACAGAUCAACUCAA